rnacentral:rRNA from 1 species
AGUGAACGCUGGCGGUAGGCCUAACACAUGCAAGUCGAACGGCAGCACAGGAGAGCUUGCUCUCUGGGUGGCGAGUGGCGGAGGGGUGAGGAAUACAUCGGAAUCUACUCUGUCGUGGGGGAUAACGUAGGGAAACUUACGCUAAUACCGCCUACGACCUACGGGUGAAAGCAGGGGAUCUUCGGACCUUGCGCGAUUGAAUGAGCCGAUGUCGGAUUAGCUAGUUGGCGGGGUAAAGGCCCACCAAGGCGAAGAUCCGUAGCUGGUCUGAGAGGAUGAUCAGCCACACUGGAACUGAGACACGGUCCAGACUCCUACGGGAGGCAGCAGUGGGGAAUAUUGGACAAUGGGCGCAAGCCUGAUCCAGCCAUACCGCGUGGGUGAAGAAGGCCCUCGGGUUGUAAAGCCCUUUUGUUGGGAAAGAAAUCCAGCUGGUUAAUACCCGGUUGGGAUGACGGUACCCAAAGAAUAAGCACCGGCUAACUUCGUGCCAGCAGCCGCCGUAA